CCCCGCCUGGGCCCCCGGGACUGGAGAGGGGCGCCCGCACUUCCGGAGACAGCUCCCUUCCCCUCCCUCCGUGGUCCUCGCCAGCCUCCUAGCGCUGUGGGGAAUCAACCUGUUUGUUCAAGGCAGUAUGCGUGAUCAGGGAGAACCACCCGGAACCGCUAGGCCCACCCUUUCUAAGUGCUGGGUAUUGACCCCAAGGCUCCACUCAGGCAAGGGAAGCUCUCUACCUAUCACUGAGACACAGUCUACAGAGGAAGCUGGCUUUGUCAUCUGAAGUAAGUGUUCAGGGGAUCUCAGUGCCCAGAUUCUACUUCAGAACACCGACCAAAUCUUUGUUCUUUAUUUUUGCUUUUUCGAGACAUGGUUUCUGUGUAGCCCUGGCAGUCCUGGAACUCGCUCUGUAGACCAGGCUGAGCUCAAACUCACAGAGAUCCACCUUCAUUUGCUUCCGGAGUGCUGGGAUUAAAGGUGUGUGCCACCCCCAGGCCUGGGUUUUUGUUUGUUUUCCUUUAUAGAAAAUCAUGCUCUGUAGAGAAUCCAAGAUUCCAGCUGAAUAAUUUUGCUUAUUUUUAGAACAAUGGAUUUUAAAUACAAUCUCCACUUCAUAGGGAAUAAAAACUUGUUACAGAAGCCCUGAAGUACGUUAUAUUUACUGUAGGCACAUAGUAAACACAAAGUAGACUGUUUUUGUUUCUUUUUUUAAUCUUUUGCCUCUAAUUUGAAGAAAUUAACUCUGUGCUAAAGCAGUCCAAAUGUGGCCUGUGCUUGCUACUGGAGUUCUUUACAUGUUUCCCAUUCUCUUUGGCACAGUGCAGACCCUUCCUUUCUUUUUAAAUAACAAGAUCAAUAGUAUUUGGGUCCCUUCAGGGGUAUCCUGUAUACCAGGAAAUUCAACAUAUGACUUUACAGUUGCUCCAGCCCCAUGGGCUGCUCCCCACCUUUGUUAAGAUAAGAACCACAAAGCUGGGAUAGACACAGACACAGAACCAUAACCUAAUAUCUACAGAAUACAAAAUUAGUGAUGAAUGGAAACCUACUUAAACUAUAUAGCAUCUUUCCGUUCAUCUGAGAUUCCAAAGUAGGAAAUCUAAGCUCUAUGUACUUAAGCCAAUGUAAAGAGUAUAUAACUUAACUCCCCAAACCAAUGGUGCCUGUAGAAAGUUCUGGUCAAAAUUAUGACUUUUCUUUUCUUUUCUUUCUUUCUUUCUCUUUCUUUUGUUUUUUGAGUCUGAAGUGUAAGUCAACAUCCAUGCAUCUCAGCAACUUGACUUGAGUCCUUUUAAAAAACAACCUGUGACUGACUCUCUGCUCUCAAAGACCAACACACAUUUUCACAGUCUCUUGAAGAGGGAAAGGGUAAAGGCUGGAGGAAAGACUCUGAGUACAGCAGUUUACAACAGAAGUACAGCGCCUGAGAGGAGCCCCACAGUAGAGGCAGAACCAUUCUUUACUAGGACACAAUACAAAGGUCAUCCAAACAGCUGCCCAUGCAGCAGCUCCAGAACAGGACAUGACUUCACUUGACAUGUUUGUUCACUGGGGAGGCUAGUGUUACAGUCAUAUAUUUUCUUCCUGUCAAGUUAUUUACAUAUGUACAGUAAGUAUUUCAGUUGGAGAUAAAAUACAGUGCCAUAAACUCCAUUUUCUCAGAAAGGAUUAGGGCAGCAAGCCCAGAGAAGACGUACAAGCAUCUACUAAAUUGCUUUAUUGGCGAGGGGAGCUGUAUUAUGUUUCGUUUCCUUGGACAGGGUUUUGUUAUGUAGCUCAGACAGACUUGGAAUUCUCUAGAUUGACCUUGAACUCUUGAUCUCCCUGUCCCAGCCUCCUAGGUGCUGGGGUUACAGAUGUGAACAAUUAUACCAGGCUCUCAGGAGAUUUUAAGUAACACAGUCUCUCCUAAAAAACCAAAUGCUGGCCACAGCUGAUGGUGUGGAAGAGCCAGAAAGUUAUCGGUGCCUGGAUCUACAACCUUUCUAAACUGCCAAGGAUCAGGUCUACAGGGGUGAGAAGCAUAGGACUGCCCCGUCACCAGAAAUAAGCCUCUUCCAGAAUCUAUGAUACAACUGGAUACAACAUGUUACAGGCAUGUGUGCACUGAAGCCAUCUCUGUGUACCCAUCACAGGAUGCGAGUUCUAGUUUUCCAGUAUAGUGUUGUCUAUAGCAUUCUGCAUCUUUGGUUCGAAGGAAGCAAAAAAUGAAACAUCUUGGUCCGGGUCAGACUGCAAAGCCAGGAGGGUCUCUUCAACAAUUUCAAGAUGAUGGUUCCCGGCAUUUCUAAAAUAUGCUAAGGAGAGAAAAGUUGGAGUUAUAUGUGCCAUGAACUGUGUUCUAGAACAUAAUCUAGUUUUGUUGUCUUUUAAGCCACAUGUCAUGACACUGGAUAAAUUUUCCAUGAAUAGCCACAUACCUAAGUCUUUUCAAGUGAUAAAAUGCCUUAUUCCAAAAGUAUUUCUGAGAUUUGAAUGGUAGACUGCCAGUAGUGACACCUGCUUUAAAAGUUAAGAGUAAUCAAACCUUUAAAUGCAUCGUGUUCUGCAGCACAUGAGAAGUGGCAUGUGUGGGCAGCAGGACAGGGAGAAGGCUAGAAAGGGACGGACAAACAGGCCCACACUGUGGUGGAGAAGUAAACCAGCACAGACACAGCUUGCAUUCACUAUCACUCAAGCUUAAAUAGUCCAGUGGUGUCACAUUGCAGUAGCAUUGAGACAGACUUUGGCUGCAUUUCAUAUUAUAACUAGAACUGAUAAAUGUGUUCCCCCUGUCUAGAAAGCUGUGUGAUAGUUUGUAUCUAUUGUAUCCAUGUUAAACAAAUGGAAUUGUGUUCAUCUCUUUAGCUAUCUUGUGUUUCCAGUGUGUUGCUAUUCAGCCUGUUAUAACUCCUUAGGGACCUGGCUGCCACCUGCCACAGCUAGGGUUAACUGAGAAGCCAGCAAGGCCUACACACCCUUCUCCAUCAGUGUCUGGCGCAGGGCCUUGGCCAGCAGAACCCUCACAUUUGGCACAGGAUCAGACGCCAGGCUCAGGAGGCUGGGAAGGAGGUGAUCCACAAACUGGUCCACAGGGACAGACUCUUCACUCACCACAGCCUGUAGAAUGAGAGCCACAGCCCAGCAGUGACUUCCUCAAGAUUUCAAAGCACACAUACUUCUAUGGCUGUGCUGUGGAAAAAUACCGGCUAUGUUCCUUUAGACCAACAGGGGGCGCUGGUGCGUCCUCUCACUGCAGUUGUUUAUGAGGCAGAGGAAAGGGAGUGCAGGAUUGGGAUCAACAGGGAUCCAUCAAAGCUGGUUGUGAACACAGCUGGGCAAGCAGCUCCUGGAGAUGGCACACCAUCCCUUUGCCUUUGUGGUGCCAGAAGACAGCACAAUGCAACAUCAAAAGGAUUAAAACCAUGACUUUCCACUUGUAGUGGGAUCUUGCCCAGGUCA